rnacentral:rRNA from 1 species
GACGUAGGAGGCGAGCGUUUGUCCGGAUUCAUUGGGCGUAAAGAGCACGCAGGCGGUUUGGCAAGUCGGAUGUGAAAACCCGGAGCUCAACUCCGGACCUGCAUCCGAAACUGCCCGACUAGAGGUAGGUAGGGGAGAUCGGAAUUCCUGGUGUAGCGGUGAAAUGCGCAGAUAUCAGGAGGAACACCGGUGGCGAAGGCGGAUCUCUGGGCCUUACCUGACGCUCAGGUGCGAAAGCUAGGGGAGCGAACAGG